AAAAAAAAUCAAAAGAAUGUUGUUUUUAGAAUUAAUUAAAUCAGUAACUAAAUUAAGGAUAAAGUUCCAACUUCUGCAGAGACAAAUGAUCUCUAAUCUACCUCAUGAAUAUUACCUUGAGAACAGGCUCAAUCUUGCCAGUACCAAUUCUGCUGACAGAUCUCUUGUUUGCAUGCUAAAUUCUAAAGCAAAUAAAAUUUGUUGAGAUCUCUUAGAAGACUCUAAAUCUUAAGAUUAAUUGCUUUCUUUUUUUUUCAAAGGUUUGCAACAUCUACUUUCAACAUUUGAAGCAGUUAUCUCUCAUAGUAGAAAUAUUUCUUUCCAAUCGCAAAGCAGAGUGCAAGGAAAAGCAAUUCUAUUCCAGGGAUGAGAUUUUCAAGUACAAGUGUGGUUCAAUCCAUCAGUAUUUCCCUGAAACCGAGCCUUUCAGGCUGCUGAAGUAGACAAAUCUGAUGUGUGGUUGGUACUCGGUUCCACCUCUUGCAUGAAAUAUGUCUGGCAUAGAAGGAGACUGGAAACCUCUAAAAACCUGUCUUCCUCCAUUGUCACCUUAGCAAUGCUCACUAAAUGCAAAGCCUAGUGGGUCUAUUUGGGUCUCUAAAUAUAUUAUUGUUGAAUGAAAAAAAAUAAAAAAAGAAGAAGGAUGUGACUACUCUUAAAAUAUGGAAACAAUUUUUAUAUUAUAAAAUACGUAUAAGGGAGAAAGCAGAGAGAGUCCAGGCUGAACAUGGCUGGCAGAAUAAAACAGACCAACAGACAAGAGAUGGGAAAAGCAAGAGCAUAUGACAGGAGACACCAUCCAAGUGAAGAGGCUCAGGCAGAAAACGUUUAGGGAAGGAAUGAGGCAUCCCAUUGUGACAGGAGGGACAUCAAUAAAAACAGAAGAGCAAAACCCAAUGUCAUGCUAAAUAGUCUUUCAUUCUGUUUCAAAUAAACCAAGAGAGGUGUAGGAGCACUGUACUCUGAAGUCUCAAUGUCUUUUAUUGCUUCCCCAAUCAGAAAGUAUGGCCAGCACCUGUAAUUAAAUAUAAAGAAUUUGGUUUUCAGCACUUAUUUGGACAAAAAGAAGAAUAUGAAGGCACUGUUCAAACAAUAUACAUCUACCUCAACAACCAAGCCUUAUCAUCUGGUGAUUAUGAGAGAGAAAAUAUGCCAAGAAGUCUAGACACUGAGAGCUCAGCAUAUUCACACACAGAGACAGUUACACUUUUCAGGGUACAUUAGCCAUUAUGAGUUUUAGGUUUCUUUCUGUGGCCAGAUAUCAAAUUAAUGUGCAAUUUUUCUAUUCUAAAGGACAUUUGAUAUUAAAAGAAAUAAGCCUGGCUGAUUCAGAACAGAACAUUUACAGCUCAAAACAGAAACGAUAAAGUAAAGAUCAUUUGUUUCAUUGCUGUGUUUUUAGCACAUCAUGUAAUAAAAUUAUCA